rnacentral:rRNA from 1 species
GACGAACCUUGCUAACGUUAUUCGGAAUUACUGGGCUUAAAGGGUGCGUAGGCGGUGCGGAAAGUCGGGUGUGAAAUCCCCCAGCUCAACUGGGGAAUUGCGCCUGAAACUACCGUGCUCGAGGAAGACAGAGGUACGCGGAACUUAGGGUGGAGCGGUGAAAUGCGUUGAUAUCCUAAGGAACACCGGUGGCGAAGGCGAGGUGCUGGGUCCUUUCUGACGCUGAUGCGCGAAAGCCAGGGGAGCAAACGGG